rnacentral:tRNA from 1 species
GUCAAGAUGGUCGAGUGGUCUAAGGCAUCAGACUCAAGUUCUAGUCCUCGAGAUAGGGUGUGAGUUCAAAUCCUACUUAUAACA